CACACGACUCUCGGCAACGGAUAUCUCGGCUCUCGCAUCGAUGAAGAACGUAGCGAAAUGCGAUACCUGGUGUGAAUUGCAGAAUCCCGCGAACCAUCGAGUCUUUGAACGCAAGUUGCGCCCGAGGCCAUUCGGCCGAGGGCACGCCUGCUUGGGCGUCACG
rnacentral:rRNA from 1 species